CCUACGGUGGUCAGCAGUGGGGAAUAUUGGACAAUGGGCGAAAGCCUGAUCCAGCCAUGCCGCGUGUGUGAAGAAGGCCUUCGGGUUGUAAAGCACUUUCAGUGGGGAAGAAAGCCUUGGGGCUAAUACCCUCGAGGAAGGACAUCACCCACAGAAGAAGCACCGGCUAACUCCGUGCCAGCAGCCGCGGUAAUACGGAGGGUGCGAGCGUUAAUCGGAAUUACUGGGCGUAAAGCGCGCGUAGGCGGUCUGAUAAGCCGGUUGUGAAAGCCCCGGGCUCAACCUGGGAACGGCAUCCGGAACUGUCAGGCUAGAGUGCAGGAGAGGAAGGUAGAAUUCCCGGUGUAGCGGUGAAAUGCGUAGAGAUCGGGAGGAAUACCAGUGGCGAAGGCGGCCUUCUGGACUGACACUGACGCUGAGGUGCGAAAGCGUGGGUAGCAAACAGGAUUAGAUACCCGGGUAGUC
rnacentral:rRNA from 1 species